UUCGGAAUAGCUCAGUCGGUAGAGCGUCUGACUGUUAAUCAGAAUGUCCCUGGUUCGAACCCAGGUUCCGGAGCCA
rnacentral:tRNA from 1 species